UCCGAAUUGGUGUAGUGGCUAACAUUUGACGCUCUCAACUGCCUUCUUUACCUCUUUAUUCGAGGUUAGGAAAUAAGUAAAAAAGUGCCGUCAAGCCCGGGGUUCGAUUCCCCGAUUCGGAG